UGUGAAUGUAACGAUCACGCCACCGAGUGUGACAACAACGGAGUCUGCCUGGGUUGUAGUCACAGUACUACAGGGUCUCACUGUGAGCAGUGUCUUCCUGGGUUCUAUGGCGAUGCCACAGAAGGAACCACUGCUGACUGCCAACGCUGCGCCUGUCCUCUGACACACCUGUCCAAUAAUUUCAGUCCUACUUGUGUAGUGGAGGAUUCUGG